AAGUGGGAUGGGAAAAGAUGGUGAUGUGCAGUUCCAUUGUGUUUGUUCUCGACUGGGAGAAAAGUAACCUUUGAGUGACCUCAUGACCCUGAUGUCUGGAAUUCCAAACUUUGGACAGAUGUAAUAUCCAGCCUUUUUACAUUUCAGUUAAUGAGAGCUUAAGAACAAGAUGGGAUGGAAGUACAGAACAAUGUGUGGGAGAUUUUGUCUCUGUGUCAACAGAGUCGAAGUCCUCACCUUGUGCAAGAUCCAAAAAGGAAAGGUUCCUCUGAGCUUGCUAAUAGCCACUGGGAAAUGUGGAAAGAAACCAAGAACCAGUAGGAAAAAAACAAA